GCCUUUUUAACUCAGUGGUAGAGUAUUUGCAUGGUAGGCAAAAAGUCGCCGGUUCAAUCCCGGUUAAAGGCU
rnacentral:tRNA from 1 species